rnacentral:tRNA from 1 species
GGGGGUGUAGCUCAAUGAUGGAGUACUUGUCAGGUAUUUGCAAGGCCCUGGGUUCGAUUCCCAGUACUGCCA